rnacentral:rRNA from 1 species
UACGUAGGUCCCGAGCGUUGUCCGGAUUUAUUGGGCGUAAAGCGAGCGCAGGUGGUUUAUUAAGUCUGGUGUAAAAGGCAGUGGCUCAACCAUUGUAUGCAUUGGAAACUGGUAGACUUGAGUGCAGGAGAGGAGAGUGGAAUUCCAUAUGUAGCGGUGAAAUGCGUAGAUAUAUGGAGGAACACCGGUGGCGAAAGCGGCUCUCUGGCCUGUAACUGACACUGAGGCUCGAAAGCGUGGGGAGCAAACAGG